rnacentral:lncRNA from 1 species
AGAGAGAGCACUUUCGGGCUUUGCUGAGGAGGGUCUUCAGAAAAAAGAGUACUGCCAACAAGAAGGCCCAAUCAAGAUCCUCCCACAACAAGAGCAGAUUGUGAGCGUGGCAAGCUCUAUGCUGAGCACUGGAAGGACAAAGAGAGAUUGGGCACAGACUUCUCACUGAUCCAGGUGAUGAAGAGCUCACAUCUGAGAGGAUGUGACCAUGGAUGACCCACCAGAAUGUCAUGGGAUCCAGCUACAGCCAAGGAAGCACAGAGCACCGUGGGAGCGAUUUAUUGUGCUUGGGGAUGGGGAAGGGGACAUGGGAGGAGCCAUAUUGAGAAAGUAGCAUGGGUACUUGGCUUCACAGAGUGUGGCAGCUUUCAUCAGGAAGUGAUGGUGGGGGAACAGCGUCUCUGGCGGAGGGAAGCAGCAGGUGCAGAGGUGCAGAGGUGUGAGGAGUCUGUCACAUUCUGGGAAGGGAGUAUGGUUGGGUGACAAUGCAAGACAGAGAAAGCAAGGAGGGAAGGAGGGGCCUAGCCUGAGGAAUAAAGAAUAAUAAAAGCAGGAAAACAAUUGCUGAGAGUUUGGAUACCUUUUUCUGGCCUUUCAUCUAAGCUUUGCUAGCCAGCCAAGAGAAAGCUGGCACUUCCCCUCCCCGAGCUUCCCUCGAAAGAGGAAGGGUUAAUUCAGAACAAGACAAAGAAAUGUCUGGGGACCUAAGUGUGAAAAGGAGAGACAGAGUCAGCCUGAAACCUGAAACUUGAGCAAGUGAAGGGGGCUGGAGAGGAGAAGAGCAAGCCAAGGAAGGGACCAGUCAGUAGCUGAA